UAGCGUAUAUUAAAGUUGUUGCGGUUAAAAAGCUCGUAGUUCGAGCUCAGUUCCGGACUGGCCGGGGAGGUCACCGCCCGGUGCUUCCCCGUCAGGCUCCGAACAGCUUCCGUGAGUGGAAGCCAAGCCGGUUCUGCCGGGGUGCUCUUCACCGAGUGUCCCGCGCGGCCGGCCAGUUCACCUUGAAUAAAUGAGAGUGCUCAAAGCAGGCUACUCUCGAAUACAAUGCCCGAAUGUUACCUGCAUGGAAUGAUGGAAGAUGAUCUCGGUUCCAUUUUCUUGGUGGUGGGAGCCAGAGGUAAUGAUAAAGAGGGACUGUCGGGGGCAUCCGUACUACGACGCGAGAGGUGAAAUUCAGUGACCGUCGUAGGACGAACAACAGCGAAAGCAUUUGCCAAGAAUGUCUUCGUUGAUCAAGAACGAAAGUUAGAGGAUCGAAGGCGAUCAGAUACCGCCCUAGUUCUAACCCUAAACGAUGCUGACCAGCAAUUCGCCGUCGUUAUUCCCAUGACGUGGCGAGACGCCCCCGGGAAACCUCAAGUCUUUGAGUUCCGGGGGUAGUAUGGUUGCAAAACUGAAACUUAAAGGAAUUGACGGAAGGGCACCACCAGGAGUGGAGCCUGCGGCUUAAUUUGACUCAACACGGGAAACCUCACCAGGCCCGGACACCAGAAGGAUUGACAGAUUAAGAGCUCUUUCUCGAUUUGGUGGGUGGUGGUGCAUGGCCGUUCUUAGUUGGUGGAGUGAUUUGUCUGGUUAAUUCCGGUAACGAACGAGACUCUGGCCUACUAAAUAGUGGACGGGCGUUUUGGUGCAUGGGCCCCGUUCGACACAGUCUUCUUAGAGGGAUGAGCAGCGAGUAUAGCUGCAGGAGAUUGAGCA
rnacentral:rRNA from 1 species